AGAGAAGUGCUGGAAUCCUUGGUUUUGUUUUGUGUUCAUAGUUAACUACGUUUAAUAAAAAGUUUGUAUCUAACUUUAAUGGAGUAUUUGUUGGAUGUCGUUGAAGCUACACUGCACUGGUGGGAGUCUAGGGAACUUAAAAUACAGAUUAGCCUUAAUACUACAAAGAAAAGAGACGCCGAGGGGAGACGGGGCUCAGAAUUCCGCGACGAUGGAAAUGUCGCAAGUGUCAAAAAUUUCCUUCUCUGUUGUUAUCAUUAGUGAUUCUUCUAGGAGUAAAUUUUUGUUGCUUGAGUAAGUUUUUAUGACUUUUGCUUCAUUCCAUAAAAUUUGCAAGAGAUUGUACUUGUAGAACCUCUUAGCUGGGGCGGUAGAGAGA
rnacentral:lncRNA from 1 species